rnacentral:rRNA from 1 species
AUUCCUACGGGGGGCAGCAGUGAGGAAUAUUGGUCAAUGGGCGGGAGCCUGAACCAGCCAAGUCGCGUGAGGGAAGACGGUCCUAUGGAUUGUAAACCUCUUUUGUCGGGGAGCAAAGAGAUCACGUGUGGUCAAAAGCUAGAGUACCCGAAGAAAAAGCAUCGGCUAACUCCGUGCCAGCAGCCGCGGUAAUACGGAGGAUGCGAGCGUUAUCCGGAUUUAUUGGGUUUAAAGGGUGCGUAGGCGGGACGGUAAGUCAGCGGUAAAAAUGCGGAGCUCAACUCCGCCGAGCCGUGGAAACGGCG